rnacentral:rRNA from 1 species
UACGAAGGACCCGAGCGUUAUCCGGAUUUAUUGGGUUUAAAGGGUGCGUAGGCGGGUUAUUAAGUCAGUGGUGAAAGCCUACAGCUUAACUGUAGAAUUGCCAUUGAUACUGAUAAUCUUGAGUAUGAUUGAGGUGGGCGGAAUGUGUCAUGUAGCGGUGAAAUGCUUAGAUAUGACACAGAACACCGAUUGCGAAGGCAGCUCACUAAGCCAUAACUGACGCUGAUGCACGAAAAGCGUGGGGGGAGCAAAACAGGGA